GCUUUCAUUUUGGGUUGACAGAAAGUCAGUCCUUCCCAUCCUGAGUGAAACGAAUGGGAAAAUAUGAGUCGGAAGUGCUGGAUUUUACUCCUCCCUUACCAUUGUUUCUGAGACCACAAAUUACUUCAGCCUCUCUGAGAUCUGGAAAAUGGAAAGAGCGAUUUACUUAUCUCUCUGAGCUUGUCUGAUCCCAGUGAAACAAUCUCCCAGUAAGAAGAAAAUCAUCAUCAUUUUAGAAAAUUUAGAAAAAUCUUCACUGUCGGAGUUAUUGAGGGACUUUUUGGCACCUCUUGAAAAUCGCAGCACUGAAAGCCCCUGCACUUUCCAAAAAGGAAAUGGACUGUCCGAAUGUUAUUACUUUCAUGAGAACUGCUUUCUGAUGGGAACCAUCGCCAAGGCCUGUCUCCAGGGCUCCGACUUGCUGGUGCAGCAGCAUUUCCGCUGGGUGCAGCUGCGGUGGGAUGGCGAGCCCAUGCAAGGACUGCUGCAGAGGUUCUUACGAAGGAAAGUUGU
rnacentral:lncRNA from 1 species